UCAAUGAGUGCCUUUGUCAAGGG
rnacentral:siRNA from 1 species